GUCCGAUGGACGCUCCGGCAGUAUCCUGCCGGGACUUUUAAUCCGUUGGUUGUGGGUUCGAGUCCCACACGGCCU
rnacentral:tRNA from 1 species